rnacentral:rRNA from 1 species
CCUACGGGGGGCAGCAGUGAGGAAUAUUGGUCAAUGGACGAGAGUCUGAACCAGCCAAGUAGCGUGAAGGAUGACUGCCCUAUGGGUUGUAAACUUCUUUUAUAUGGGAAUAAAACGUUCCACGUGUGGGAUUUUGUAUGUACCAUAUGAAUAAGGAUCGGCUAACUCCGUGCCAGCAGCCGCGGUAAUACGGAGGAUCCGAGCGUUAUCCGGAUUUAUUGGGUUUAAAGGGUGCGUAGGUGGAUUGUUAAGUCAGUUGUGAAAGUUUGCGGCUCAACCGUAAAAUUGCAGUUGAAACUGGCAGUCUUGAGUACAGUAGAGGUGGGCGGAAUGCGUGGUGUAGCGGUGAAAUGCUUAGAUAUCACGAAGAACUCCGAUUGCGAAGGCAGUUCACUGGACUGCAACUGACACUGAGGCUCGAAAGUGUGGGUAUCAAACAGGAUUAGAUACCCGGGUAGUC